GACGAACGCUGGCGGCGUGCUUAACACAUGCAAGUCGAACGGGAUUUAGUAAACGGAAGCCUCGGUGGAAGAUUACUAAUGAGAGUGGCGAACGGGUGAGUAACGCGUGAGCAACCUGCCUAUGACAGUGGGAUAGCCUCGGGAAACCGGGAUUAAUACCGCAUAAAAUCGUAGAAACACAUGUUUCAACGGUCAAGGAUUUAUCGGCCAUAGAUGGGCUCGCUUCUGAUUAGCUAGUUGGUGAGAUAACAGCCCACCAAGGCGACGAUCAGUAGCCGGUCUGAGAGGAUGAACGGCCACAUUGGAACUGAGACACGGUCCAAACUCCUACGGGAGGCAGCAGUGGGGAAUAUUGCACAAUGGGGGAAACCCUGAUGCAGCGACGCCGCGUGAACGAAGAAGGUAUUCGUAUCGUAAAGUUCUGUCCUAUGGGAAGAUAAUGACAGUACCAUAGAAGAAAGCUCCGGCUAAAUACGUG
rnacentral:rRNA from 1 species